UACGUAGGGCGCAAGCGUUAUCCGGAAUUAUUGGGCGUAAAGAGCUCGUAGGCGGUUUGUUGCGUCGGCUGUGAAAUCCCGAGGCUCAACCUCGGGUCUGCAGUCGAUACGAGCAAACUAGAGUGUUGCAGGGGAGACUGGAAUUCCUGGUGUAGCGGUGAAAUGCGCAGAUAUCAGGAGGAACACCGGUGGCGAAGGCGGGUCUCUGGGCCGAUACUGACGCUGAGGAGCGAAAGCGUGGGGAGCGAACAGG
rnacentral:rRNA from 1 species